GAUGAACGCUGGCGGCGUGCCUAAUACAUGCAAGUCGAGCGAACAGACGAGGAGCUUGCUCCUUUGACGUUAGCGGCGGACGGGUGAGUAACACGUGGGUAACCUACCUAUAAGACUGGGAUAACUUCGGGAAACCGGAGCUAAUACCGGAUAAUAUUUCGAACCGCAUGGUUCGAUAGUGAAAGAUGGCUUUGCUAUCACUUAUAGAUGGACCUGCGCCGUAUUAGCUAGUUGGUAAGGUAACGGCUUACCAAGGCAACGAUACGUAGCCGACCUGAGAGGGAGAUCGGACACACGGGAACUGAGACACGGUACAGAAGAAUAGGGGAGGCAGCAGUGGGGAAUCUAUCGAAAAGGGAGAAAGAGUGAAGGAGAAAAGAAGCGUGAGUGAUGAAGGGAUGAAGAUAGUAAAACUCUGUUAAUAGGGAAGAACAAAUGAGGAAGUAACGAGGCAAGUCUAGACGGUACCUAAGCAGAAAGCCACGGCGAACUAAGAG
rnacentral:rRNA from 1 species